rnacentral:rRNA from 1 species
UACGUAGGGUGCGAGCGUUAAUCGGAAUUACUGGGCGUAAAGCGUGCGCAGGCGGUUUUGUAAGCCAGAUGUGAAAUCCCCGGGCUUAACCUGGGAAUGGCAUUUGGGACUGCAAGGCUCGAGUGCGGCAGAGGAGACUGGAAUUCCUGGUGUAGCAGUGAAAUGCGUAGAUAUCAGGAGGAACACCGAUGGCGAAGGCAGGUCUCUGGGCUGACACUGACGCUCAUGCACGGAAAGCGUGGGGAGCAAACAGG